AGGGUCCUGCAGUGCCAGGAAAACGGAUGUUUAUAGAAAAGUUUUAUUUGCAGAGUUUGAUUUAAAUAGACUGAUUUCUACAAUAUGAUGUGUUGUAAUCAGACACACAAUUAAAUAUAGAUAAGUGUACUAUAUGGGUUAUUAUAAAUAUACAUCAUUGAGGGUAUGAAUUGAAUAAAAGGCUGAACUAUACACACAGAAUAGAUUAAUACUAUUUAGUGAACAACCCUAAAGCUAAAUUAUUUCCACACAAUGGAUGUUGAAGGUGAAUGGUCACUGUGUGUUUU